rnacentral:rRNA from 1 species
GACGAACGCUGGCGGCGUGCUUAACACAUGCAAGUCGAACGGAAAGGCCCUGCUUGUUUGGUGUGCUCGAGUGGCGAACGGGGGAGUAACACGUGAGUAACCUGCCCUUGACUUUCGGAUAACUUCAGGAAACUGGGGCUAAUACCGGAUAGGAGCUCCUGCUGCAUGGUGGGGGUUGGAAAGUUUCGGCGGUUGGGGAUGGACUCGCGGCUUAUCAGCUUGUUGGUGGGGUAGUGGCUUACCAAGGCUGUGACGGGUAGCCGGCAUGAGAGGGUGACCGGCCACAAUGGGACUGAGAUACGGACCAGACUCCUACGGUAGGCAGCAGUGGGGAAUAUUGCACAAUGGGCGGAAGCCUGAUGCAGCAACGCCGCGUGCGGGAUGACGGCCUUCGGGUUGUAAACCGCUUUCGCCUGUGACGAAGCGUGAGUGACGGUAAUGGGUAAAGAAGCACCGGCUAACUACGUG